UACGGGGGGGGCAAGCGUUGUUCGGAAUUACUGGGCGUAAAGGGCGCGUAGGCGGCCUUCUAAGUCAGACGUGAAAUCCCUCGGCUCAACCGAGGAACUGCGUCUGAUACUGGAAGGCUUGAAUCCGGGAGAGGGAUGUGGAAUUCCAGGUGUAGCGGUGAAAUGCGUAGAUAUCAGGAGGAACACCGGUGGCGAAAGCGCUUGUCUGGCCCAAUACUGACGCUGAGGCGCGAAAGCUAGGGGAGCAAACGGG
rnacentral:rRNA from 1 species